rnacentral:rRNA from 1 species
UCGAGAAUCUUUCGCAAUGGGGGAAACCCUGACGAAGCGACGCCGCGUGAACGAUGAAGGUCUUCGGAUUGUAAAGUUCUGUCGCCUGGGAAGAACUGCUUUAGCGCUAAUAUCGCUAGAGUUUGACGUUACCAGGCGAGGAAGCCCCGGCUAACUCUGUGCCAGCAGCCGCGGUAAUACAGAGGGGGCAAGCGUUGUUCGGAUUUACUGGGCGUAAAGGGCGCGUAGGGGGAUGUAAAAGUAAGAUGGGAAAUUUCGGUGC